AAUCUGGUUGAUCGUGCUAGUAGCCACAUCAAUUGUUUCAGGUUAAGCCAUACCUGUUUAGGUGCAUAAUAUGAAACAACACAACUGCUCGUUAAAUAAGCUGCAGUACCUUAAAUCGUCUGUAUUACGUAGAUAGCCGUUGCGAUUCCGCAGACAACACACGUAAUUAUGCUUUGAUCCGUAAGGAAAUGGGUGCAUUUAUUAGAAAAGAACCAACUGAAUCUCUGUUAAAUAAUUACUGAGAAUUUUCAAGUAUUGGUUUUUGUAGGGAUUUUGUUUGAUUGCAUGGAGGAUUUAAUCAUGAG
rnacentral:ncRNA from 1 species